rfam:Psychromonas ingrahamii 37, complete genome.
CUUUGCCGCUGAAUUAGUGAUCGGCGGUACUAAUUUAAAUCGGUUAUACACAUAACCAUAAAAUAUCGGAGUAUGUUAUGUCACUAAGUGCAGAACAAAAAGCUGAGAUUGUAGCUAAAUAUGGUCGUUCAGAA